CUUCCUAUACAACAAUCCAUUCUUUAGCUCAAGUCUAUUCCAUUGUCUCAUCCAUAGGGUUACUGCAGGUGAGUGGAAUUUCAGGUUUGCAGGUUUGUUGUUUGACUCCAGGUAAAUAAUUACCUCUUUCAUUUCAGGGUCUGCUCGCUGCCUCCUGAUCAGAUCCUCUACGGACAGGUGAGGUAUCUCGGGAAGACCAUGGACACCUUCUCUCUGGAUUUCUGGAGAUUCCAGGUCAUCUGAGGGUCCACCAUUCAGACGACGAGACAGUCCGUCCACAUCUUGAUUUUGAGCUCCCGCUCUGUACUGCAUCUUAAAAUUGUACAUUGAAAGACUGGAUAACCAUCUAUAACUAGUGGCAUCGAGUUUGGCCGAGAAGCGCCCGGGUCUAUUUAUCUAAGCGCACCUUGG